rnacentral:rRNA from 1 species
GAUGAACGCUAGCGGCAGGCCUAAUACAUGCAAGUCGAGGGGUAGAGGAAGCUUGCUUUCUUGAGACCGGCGCACGGGUGCGUAACGCGUACGCAACCUACCUUUAUCAGGGGGAUAGCCCGGAGAAAUCCGGAUUAACACCGCAUAAAAUCACAGAACAGCAUUGUUUCAUGAUCAAAUAUUUAUAGGAUAAAGAUGGGCAUGCGUGCCAUUAGCUAGUUGGCGGGGUAACGGCCCACCAAGGCGACGAUGGCUAGGGGCUCUGAGGGGGGAAUCCCCCACACUGGUACUGAGACACGGACCAGACUCCUACGGGAGGCAGCAGUAAGGAAUAUUGUUCAAUGGGGGCAACCCUGAACCAGCCAUGCCGCGUGCAGGAAGACUGCCCUAUGGGUUGUAAACUGCCUUUGUACGGGAAUAACCACUGGUAUGUAUACCAGCCUGAAUGUACCGUAAGAAUAAGGAUCGGCUAACUCCGUGCCAGCCGCCGCCGUAAAAC